ensembl:snRNA U6 U6 spliceosomal RNA
UGGCUGGCUUUGCAGCACUCGCAAUAGAUUUGGAAUGAUAUAGAGAAGAUUAGCUUGUUCCCUGUGCAAGGAUGACAUGCAAAUUCAUGAAGUAGUCCAUAGUUAA